rnacentral:rRNA from 1 species
AAGUCGUAACAAGGUCUCCGUUGGUGAACCAGCGGAGGGAUCAUUACAGAGUUGCAAAACUCCCACAAACCAUCGCGAACCUUACCCGUACGGUUGCCUCGGCGCUGGCGGUCCUUCGGGACCCUCGGGCCUCCCGCUCGCGGGGGGCUGCCCGCCGGAGUGCCGAAACCAAACUCUUGAUAUUUUAUGUCUCUCUGAGUAAACUUUUAAAUAAGUCAAAACUUUCAACAACGGAUCUCUUGGUUCUGGCAUCGAUGAAGAACGCAGCGAAAUGCGAUAAGUAAUGUGAAUUGCAGAAUUCAGUGAAUCAUCGAAUCUUUGAACGCACAUUGCGCCCCUUGGUAUUCCGGGGGGCAUGCCUGUUCGAGCGUCAUUACACCCCUCUAGCCUGGCUUGGUAUUGGGCUCCGCCGUUUACUCGGCGGGCCUUAAAAUUAGUGGCGGUGCCCCCGUGGCCCUGAGCGUAGUAAAUAUCCUCGCUUCUGGACCCGGUGGUUACUGGCCAGCAACCCCCAACUUUCUAAGUUUGACCUCGGAUCAGGUAGGGAUACCCGCUGAACUUAA